UUUUCUUUUACGUGUGUGUGUGUGUGUGUAUUUUCGUGUACACGUACAGACUUAUACACGUUUGCAUUAUCAAUAUACAAAUAAAUUCGAUUAAAAAUUAAACACGCUUCUUGACAAUAACGUGUUAUGCUUUUUAUCAAUUUUAUAUACGUACAUCGUAUGUGUGUACACACAUAAACAGACACACACACGUAACUUAUAUACGUGACUGUGUAAUACGUGUACGAACUUUAUUUGUUUUUCAAGUGAGUCGUCACACCAACAGCUAUCCAAUGAAUAUCGCUGAUGUAAGAAGCUAAAUUCGUAGACCUGACCUGUGACAACGAUAUGUGACUAACGGAGGACACCCGGUAGAUAUAUUUUGUUAAGCAGAACAUCCAUUAUCCUAUUUUUUACUGGGCCUGGAGCGCCAUCGAUGAUCGGUGGUACUAUACUUUGUGGACCUUACUAAAAACGUUUUUAAAACUUGUUUUUCUUCUUUCUUUUUCAUUUUCUUUUUUUUUCUAUUUAUAAAUGUCUAAAAGGAUAACUUUUUAUCGCGAGUAAAGUCUAAUAUACUAAAAAAAAAAAGAAAAGAACAGAAAAAGAAAGAAAGAAAGGAGAACGAAAAAACUUAUGAAGACUUCUUAUCUAAGAGGGACAUUAUUCGAAGAUCACAAAGAUCAAAAUCCAAAAUCUAAUGGAAGACAAAGAAAGGGCUAAUGCACUAUAAUCGUAUUAAAUCUGAUGAAUACUCGCCGAACUUGACCCUUGUCAGCAUCAUGAAUGAUUCAGUUAGCGGACGUUGGCUGAUGGGUCAGAAUUGUUGUAACGGGAAGUUCAAUCAAACACCGUUUGACGUAACCAAUGCACCGUGACAUAAAGCUCGGCUUUAGUUUACAAACCGGAUCGAGAGAUGGGAGUAUUUCGUUGUGGGCACCAUAAUAUAUAGUAGUUGUGUAACGUGAUCUCAAUCGUAGAGUAACGGAGGAUCGUAUGUCGGUGGUGGAGGAUGCCUGGCAUUGGCACCAAUAGCAGUGACUUCGAAAAAGUAGGUUUCUGGAGCGACAGCUGCACCAAUGAUACCCGGCAAACGAUAAUAACAACAAUGACAACGCGAUAACAUUCGAAUAUGGUCCUGGAAAUAUUUUUCAUGUUGACUAAGGUCAUCCUUCAUUGAGAACAUUUUAUUAUCAAUAUACAUGAAUAACAAAGAGUUUUCAUUUCUCUAUUCCU